rnacentral:rRNA from 1 species
CAGUUCGGAUCGGAGUCUGCAACCCGACUCCGUGAAGCUGGAUUCGCUAGUAAUCGCGCAUCAGCCAUGGCGCGGUGAAUACGUUCCCGGGUCUUGUACACACCGCCCGUCACACCAUGGGAGUCGGGAAUGCCCGAAGUCGGUGACCAAACCAAUAAGGAAGGAGCCGUCGAAGGCAGGUCUGAUAACUGGGGUGAAGUCGUAACAAGGUACC